CNGGUUACCUUGUUACGACUUCACCCCAGUCAUGAAACACAAAGUGGUAAUCGUCCUCCCGAAGGUUAGACUAACUACUUCUUUUGCAUCCCACUCCCAUGGUGUGACGGGCGGUGUGUACAAGGCCCGGGAACGUAUUCACCGCAGUAUUCUGACCUGCGAUUACUAGCGAUUCCGACUUCAUGGAGUCGAGUUGCAGACUCCAAUCCGGACUACGACAUUCUUUAAGGGGUCCGCUCCACAUCACUGUCUCGCUUCCCUCUGUAAAUGCCUUGU
rnacentral:rRNA from 1 species